ensembl:lncRNA
AUGAGGAAUAAACAAGACGAACGCCAACCUUUAGCACAACGCCACACUUACGAUGUCAUAGGAAUCACUGAAACCUGGUGGGAUGACUCCCAUCACUGGAAUGUAGCCAUUGAAGGCUAUAACCUCUUUCACAGAAACAGAAUAAACGGGAGAGGAAGGGGAGUAGCCCUAUAUGUCAAAAACAUUUACGUUGCAGAAAAGAUGCAAGAUGGCAAUCCGGAAAACCAGCUUGAAAGCAUCUGGAUAAAAAUCAAGGGAAACUGGAUUCAAAAAGAUCUUGUCGUGGGAGUCUACUACAGACCUCUGAACCAGGAUGAAGAACUUGAUGUAGCCUUCUGUCAGCAGCUGACCAAACAGGCACAAAGAAGAGAUAUAGUACUCAUAAACAGAUAAAGGAUUGGUUGGCUACUUACUUCUGUAAAGUCAGGACUGUACUUUUGUUUCUCCUAAAGGAAUGCCAAUUUACAUCAAGCUGAGAGAGAUCAAGGCCCUACCUCUUUUAUCCAUGCAGUGUUUAUGCUCCCAAGUACACUUUAAACCAAGUCCAGGGAGGGGAACCUGUAAAAAUUACAAUAUCUUGUAUGCAGCAACACCUUUAGCUGUCCUUUAAGGCUUUUGGAGUACCAUUUUUCCAGAAGGAAACAGUUGAUGUUAAUUCUAAUUCUUUUGUUGUACAAGAAGUGACAAAUUAAUUCCAAAAUUUCAAAAAUAAAAAGGUCUAAACAAACCUCUAGUAUUCAACACUUGCAUUUUUUUUUCUUUUUUAAAAAAGAUCAACUCAGACUAAACUCUAGCACAGUCAUGCAACAGCCCACAGUUCCUAUGGAUCCAGACAUCUCAUAACUCCACAGGUGGUUUUUUGUUUUGUUUUAUGUUUAUUUAUCUCCUCUUCUUCUUCCUCUUUAAUUAAAAAUAAUAAUUAAAAAGGCUAAAAACAAAAUUACAAAGCAAUCUGAGAUGUAUAUAGGCUUCAAGAGAUUGUUCUGCUUGAUGAGACACAUUUGAUUCCCCGCCCCCCAUUUUGGUAUUUUCCACUGCUUGUGUAAAAACCAUGUUUGAUAUUGGUUUGAUCUCCUUCAGUUAACUAUACAGUACCCCACUGGGGUACAAGAAUUAGAUUGUAACAACAUAUAUAUAUAUAUAUAUACACACACACACAAUUUUAAAUUUUAAUUAAAAACUACAUUACAUCCCUCUCCUUCCCUUAUUUGCACUCUAAGGGAAUAGACGGGUCUAGGCUUCGUGUGACCUUGAAUAGCCUCUCUUUCAAUAUGACCUAGGCUGAGAUAGGAACAUCUGGAUGCGGGAGUGGUGAGGGUGGGCAAUCUGGUGGAUUUGAGCAUCUGAGUUGAAGCAGGGCAGUGGCUUCAUGACACUGGUAAACUUAAAACAAUCUUAAAAGCCAUGUAUUAAGAGAAACUGAACUGAGGGUGUUCAGCUGCGAUUCUAUACAUCCUUAUCUGGGAGUAUGUUCCGCUAAACUCAGUACAAAUUACUUCUGAAUUAAGGUUGGGCUCUACAACUGUGGUAAAAGCAACAUAUUUGCAUCUCUCAAAUAUUUUUGUGAGAAAAUGCAUAUCUUGCUUCAAGCACUUGCACAUUUGUGAGGUUUAUAGGCCAUUUCCAAGAAAUAAAUUGUGGACCAAAAAGUUCAGUCAGUUCAGAAUGGGAACAAUUAAAAGACUCUGGUGCAAACACAUUUUAGUCCAUGGGGAAAAGUCACACAAAUUAUGUAAACUCGACUACACAGGCACAUUAGGAAGAAUGCAUUAAAAUGUGAAUGAAUUCACUGUGGAAAGAAAGCACAAGGUUUCACAACCCAGUACAAAUAAAGAAUGGGUGGAAAUGCAUAAUGAGAUUUGAAAAAACUCAGUAAAACUGAAAUGUCACACCCCUGUUCUAGAUAGACAGACAGACAGACAACAGCACUGUCAGCUGAAACAGAGUACUGAAUAGAAUGGCAAAAGGUUAGCAAAAAAGAGAGAGAUGUAUUAGGAAAUAGAUUUUAGGAACACCCUGAUGAGAUCUUCAGACGGGUUGUGUCUCUCACAAGUAUUGACUUUUCCUUAAUGUUGAAGUCCAAGCCAAAUGCUCAUUCCAGAAUCUUCAGAAAUGCUCCAUUCAUUGCAUUGGAAACUUAUCUUAUGGAUUUAUUUUUAGUGACCUUCCUUGUGAUACAGGUCUUGAAGGCCAGGGUACAAUUUAAGGUCGAAUUAUGGAAGGACAGCAUGUAGACUGUGGAAUGUAGACAACAUUCAUAACGCAGGAACAAUGACAACACAUUGUGAUGCUUUGCUACAUUUGCCCAGUUGAAAUGCUAAUGUAGAUGAGAAGUAAAAGGCCCCUUUUAAACAGGAGAGAAUUCACAUUUCUAAGAUGGUGUUUUAGUGAUAGCUGUACAAAAUUUGGAGACACAAGAGGGAAUUUCUGGCGUUUUUUUUAGGAGUGAAGUGGUGAGCCUGUACAAAAUUAAUGAACGCAAAAUAUUUUCCAAAUCUACACGACAUUCUGGAGAACAUUAUGGGAACAAUAAAAGUACUUUUGCCAGUAGCCGCACUGGAAGCACCUGACUGCAUUAUGGUAUUAUGAAUUAUGUGAAGGAAACGAACGGCAGUAAGAUCUGCUUCUAUACCCCUUGCUGCUCUUUCACAGUACCAACUCCGGGCCUCUUGUAAUGGAAGUGAUUGUGUAAGCAAAGACGACAAAGUCCAGAUGCAGCUGAUAACCAACUGCAGCAUGGUAGUGGAUGAUUGCACUGCCCUAAUUUAGAUUAUUUUCUGUUCCCCAGUAAGGUUGGAAGCCAAAAUAAUCAAAACAAGCUAUGAAGAAUAUACUUGAAUGUGACAUUUGAAACAUUCCUGAAAUGAAAUAAUCUAAAAUAUGCCUUCUUCCCCACACAAACAUAAAUAAAAGAGAGCUACUCAACUAUUGUGUGCCAUGCGUUCUUCUUUUCUCUAGACUGGAUGCCACUCUUUCUUUCUCUUGGACUAUCUUCCACUUUUCCUACUGGCUGAACCCAAAGAAUGUGCAACUAGUCUUGCAAUUGAUUCCAAUUAUUUUGUUAUUGACAAGACUUCUUCUGUUACCUAACAAUUCCUCUUGUCUAAGGCCCUACUUGUUUUGAGAGAUGCUCUGCAUCUGCUAAAAAUGUGAAGAUGUAUAAACAAAUAGUUGAAAGAAGGACACUUAGACACACACACACACGCACCCCUAUAAAAACACAAAACAAAAGGGAUAACCCUCUACUAUAUGGUGUUCAACAGUGUUGGGGCUCAAUCUAAUGGCCCAUAAGGCCCUUCUGAUCUCUAUGAUUCUAUGAAUCCAUGAUGGAUCACCAUUUGUUCUUCAUCUCUUUGGAUGGAAGCUGCCCUCAUGAUAACUCUGUGUAGGCCCAUGUAACUUAAGUCUGCCACACCAAAGGAAUGGGAGGACAAAUGACUGAACUCAGACAGAAGUUGGGACUAGGAUUCCUGUGUGGCCCAGACUCUAUCAUGUGCUACUGUAUCUGCUACUUAAGAAGCCUUUCCUUUCCAACGGAAGAGGGAAUACUGAGGAUUGGUUCCCAUGGUCAUCAUCUCCAUUUACUGUGCCUACAUGUGGCUGAAAUGGUUGUUUGGAAGUGUCCCUAUUUCAAAAUGCCCUGCAGGUGUUUAAGGUAAUAUAUGGAGCUGGGAAAUCCGCUUACAAGUAGAGGGGGGCAAAGAGAGCUUCUGAAGAAUUGCUAAGCUCAGAGUACAAAUAACACAUCCUGUCUUGUCUAUAUAAAAGACAAAGUAGGAACUUUUCUGUGAAGUGUGGCACUUUCCACAAAGUAAGGCUUGUUGCAAUAAAUGGGAAAGAUCUCUCUCUUGGGCUUGCCACAUAUGCAUUUCACCUUCUAAGAGUUUUUUUUUUUGGCCUUCUCCUCUCUCUCAACCUCCUGAACCCUCUUUAGCAGCACUUAAAAAGAGAGUGUCUUUUUGG